rnacentral:lncRNA from 1 species
CCAGGGAGCUCCGGGGCUCAGGCUGGUUCCAAUGUCUCCCCACAGGGGCGGGCGCUGGUGGAGGGCAGGGGUGAGGCCUGCUGCUACUGCGCUGAAGUGGGUGAGAACAGGACCAGCGCGCCUGCUGUACCACCGACUGGGCCCCCGGGCACCACCCUGGCCAGCCCAGCUGCCUCCACCAGCCCUCCGCUCAUCACCUUCCCGCUGCCCCCUCUUGGAGACCGCUGCUAUGGCCCCUUGGGCCUGGCCUCCUUGCCAGCCAGCUGCUUCACAGCCUCCUCCCAGCAGCCGGAGAACCCUGCCCACGCGGGGCGCCUCAACCACGUGCUCCCGGGCUCGGACCUGCAGGGCUGGGGGCCUCAGGCAGAGGUGUACCACGAGCUGCUCUCCAAGCCGCCCUACCUGCAGGUGGAUCUGCUGGAGCCCAGGAACCUCACAGGGGUGGUGGUGCAGGGGGCAGGCUCCUCGGACGCCUUCGUUACCA